UGAGCAGAAAACGCACAUAGCCCAGUUAAAUCAUCUAAGUGCUGAGGCAGAAGCUCCAAUGAGGACUCUAAUUUCUGUCUCCCUGGAGGUUGCAACAGAAAGAGUGGAGGGUGAAUUGAAACUGACCCCAGUGUAGUAAAGAAGUCCUACAUGGUAGAGAUCUUGAAAAGGAAUCUGUACAUUCUAAAAGCCCUAGUAGGCCUACAGGUUUGACGAGUGUAAAGAGACUAUAUUCAGUGUGGCUUGUUGAUAGUUGGAGAUGGAGACUAUAGAGGAGGGUGGGGAAGAAGGAUGGGGACACAGAACCUAAAUCUGCAGAGUAUAGUGGGCCAAGGCCAAGAGCAGAAUUGCCUUACAUCCCCGUAAGAGCCACCCAGAAAUAUUAGACAAGAGAGACAAGCAAAUCCCUGUGUAAGCAUUGCUGUAGCGGCUCUGCAGAGAAUCAACUACAGAAGAGCAAGAAUGUACAGGAGUUUGCACUGGGUGUUACUGAAUCAGCUCAGGCAGUCACUCAUGUAGCUCAAGGAUUGGGAACUCUUUGUAGCCAAGAUGCAUUUGGGGUCCUGAUUUUCUCUCCUCUUCCCAUCAGAGUGCUGGAUUACAGAGAUCUGUGGCCUGGGUUGAACUUUCUGCAAUUCCAUCCUACAGCGGAGGUGGAACAGUGGAAGAAAAGGUUAGGAACACAAGUAUUUACAGAAGGAUCCGUGCUUGAAUAGGAGAGAAGAAUGGCACUGAAAAUCAAGAGACAUUCCCCAAGAAGAAAGGGAGCUGGAGACUUUGAAGUUGACACGGUUUCAGCAGAAAGGAGAAAAGAGCAGGAAGUAAAGUCCCCAAAGUACAAUUCUCCACAAACACGAGAAGUGAAGACGCAUGAUGACAAUGUUCCAGCUGCUGGCUACCCAGACCAAAGUCAUUUUAAUUUGUCAUAGGCUUUUACAUUUUCAACAAUAGUAUGCUAGCCUGGAGUGACAAAUGUCUACCAAGAAAUGUCUAAGAUGUCGGUUCUGUGAGAAUCUCUGAGAAAGAUAGUUUAUUCUGAGUUGGUGUUUUCAAACAUUUAGCCCAUGCCAACUUAACCCAAUCAGGGUCUAGUGAGAGGCCAGCAUCGGCUGGUGAGUAAUAGCACAGUUUGCGGACCCUGCCGAGCUGAUCAUCACUUUCAAGCCUUACCAAGAUGCCAAGGGUGGGGCUGGAGAAUCUAGCUCAGUUUCGAGCACUGAUGGGUUUGAUCCCCAUCAGUGUAUUACUGUGGUGUAUUGAUGUACAUGUGUGAUUCGUGCCUGCAAGUAGGAGAUGAAGGCAAGAAAAUCAGAAAUUCAGGUCAUCUUCAAUUACAUAGUGAGUUUGAGGCCAACCUGGGCUACAUGAGAACCUGUCUAAAAACCAACAACAACAAAAAAAAUGUGCUAAAGAGUAAGAAGCACACAGGGUCAACACAAGCUAUUCCAGCUGGGAAAAUUGUGGGUGUCUGUGAGUUUAUUUUGGGUACAACUCCUCUCUUUUUUCUAAGCGCUUAGUGGUGUGAUCUACUCUUAUGAUCUGGCCAAUGACAGCAGCAAAUUGGGAUUGGUUCUAUACGUCUUUCUCAUCCCUGUACAGGAUUAACAUUUCAUAGAAUUUUGUGUAUUCUUUUCCCAAUAACUGAAUAGCCCCAAAGAUGGAGAUUUGCCCAAACUCAACAUCUUCCAGGUUCUUGGCCUAGCCAGGCAUGGUACAAACUCAAUGAAUGAGAUCUGGAACAGGAGGAUUAUAGAUGAAUCUGACACUGUGACUUGCAAGUUUUGUAAGCCUAUGCAAGUUUUCCUCUUUUUGGAGUCUUAGAUUAUUUUUUUUAACUAAAAAAUGUUUGGUUUGGCCUAGAAGCUCUCUAAGUCCCCCCCCCACACACACACACACAACUCCAGUCCUAGGCUAUAUAAACAGAGUAUCUGACAAGUGAUCUUCCAGCAUCCUGGUCCUAAGACCUGUCUUCUUAGUCUCACUGUGCAGUAUAAUGUUCCCUGGAUUCAGCCAUGUUGGCCAGAGGUGGACCCUGGAGACUUCCUAGAAUGAGCUCACUGCUUCUGCUUGUCCUCUGUUACUAGACAUGAGACAUGCCAAUCAGAAUCUUCUUGCACGUGCUGUGACUUGUGGGCAAUGGGCAGAAAGGCAUUUAUAUAGUCAAGCAGAAAGACCAAGUAGAAACUUCUGGCAAUUCCCACUCAAUGUUGAAGCUCAAGACACCUUUGACCUUGUGUCCCAUAAGUGGCUUAGAGUCUAGGAAUAAACUUUCUAUCCUUUUCUGGAUGGCAUGCAAA